GGCAGUAGACCUCAGUGCAGAGAAUUCACUUCGGUAACAGUUGAAUGUGUAGGCUUAGGGAAGAAACAAGCUUUUCCCAUUGGCGAGUUCAACUCAAGAACUAGCCAUGUACUGAGAAAGAGGAAGCACCAGGCAGGAGCAGCUACCUGGCUGGAGAUCACAUUCUACUGCAGAGUUUCACUGGGAAGAGCAAUGAGGGCUUGUCAUCCCACUUUUGUCACAUUCCUGUGGCUGCAGCUGGACUGGGUGAGCCAAGGAGAGAAGGUGGUGCAAAGUCCUUCUGCCUUGAGUGUCCAGGAGGGGGACAGCAGUGAGAUCAACUGUACUUAUUCAGACAGUGGCUUGGACUACUUCCCUUGGUAUAAGCAAGAACCUGGAAAGGGUCCCCAACUCAUCAUUGACAUUCGUUCAAAUUCAGAGAGAAAACAAAACCAAAGACUCACUGUCUCACUGGAUAAGAAAGCCAAACACUUCUCCCUGCACAUUGUAGCCACCCAGCCUGGAGACACAGCCCUCUACUUCUGUGCAGCAAUCAUUGAGAACCCUGAUCUACGGUGGGGUAGACUUUUAUAG